AGUGGCGAACGGGUGAGUAAUAUAUCGGAACGUACCCUGGAGUGGGGGAUAACGUAGCGAAAGUUACGCUAAUACCGCAUACGAUCUAAGGAUGAAAGCAGGGGACCGCAAGGCCUUGUGCUCCUGGAGCGGCCGAUAUCUGAUUAGCUAGUUGGUGGGGUAAAGGCCCACCAAGGCAUCGAUCAGUAGCUGGUCUGAGAGGACGACCAGCCACACUGGAACUGAGACACGGUCCAGACUCCUACGGGAGGCAGCAGUGGGGAAUUUUGGACAAUGGGCGCAAGCCUGAUCCAGCAAUGCCGCGUGAGUGAAGAAGGCCUUCGGGUUGUAAAGCUCUUUUGUCAGGGAAGAAACGGUGGAGGCUAAUAUCCUCUGCUAAUGACGGUACCUGAAGAAUAAGCACCGGCUAACUACGUGCCAGCAGCCGCGGUAAUACGUAGGGUGCAAGCGUUAAUCGGAAUUACUGGGCGUAAAGCGUGCGCAGGCGGUUUUGUAAGACUGUCGUGAAAUCCCCGGGCUCAACCUGGGAAUGGCGAUGGUGACUGCAAGGCUAGAGUUUGGCAGAGGGGGUAGAAUUCCACGUGUAGCAGUGAAAUGCGUAGAUAUGUGGAGGAACACCGAUGGCGAAGGCAGCCCCCUGGGUCAAAACUGGCGCUCAUGCACGAAAGCGUGGGGAGCAAACAGGAUUAGAUACCCUGGUAGUCCACGCCCUAAACGAUGUCUACUAGUUGUCGGGUCUUAAUUGACUUGGUAACGCAGCUAACGCGUGAAGUAGACCGCCUGGGGGAGUACGGUCGCAAGAUUAAAACUCAAAGGAAUUGACGGGGACCCGCACAAGCGGUGGAUGAUGUGGAUUAAUUCGAUGCAACGCGAAAAACCUUACCUACCCUUGACAUGGAUGGAAUCCCUGAGAGAUUGGGGAGUGCUCGAAAGAGAACCAUUACACAGGUGCUGCAUGGCUGUCGUCAGCUCGUGUUGUGAGGUGUUGGGUUAAGUCCCGCAACGAGCGCAACCCUUGUCAUUAGUUGCUACGAAAGGGCACUCUAAUGAGACUGCCGGUGACAAACCGAGGAAGGUGGGGAUGACGUCAAGUCCUCAUGGCCCUUAUGGGUAGGGCUUCACACGUCAUACAAUGGUACAUACAGAGGGCCGCCAACCCGCGAGGGGGAGCUAAUCCCAGAAAGUGUAUCGUAGUCCGGAUUGUAGUCUGCAGCUCGACUGCAUGAAGUUGGAAUCGCUAGUAAUCGCGGAUCAGCAUGUCGCGGUGAAUACGUUCCCGGGUCUUGUACACACCGCCCGUCA
rnacentral:rRNA from 1 species